AGAGUUUGAUCCUGGCUCAGAAUCAACGCUGGCGGCGUGCCUCAGACAUGCAAGUCGAACGAUUAAACUUUCCUUCGGGAAAGAUAUAAAGUGGCGCACGGGUGAGUAACACGUAGGUAAUGUGCCUUUGGGUGGGGAAUAACUUAGGGAAACUUAAGCUAAUACCGCAUAAUGCAGCGGCUCCUUCGGGAGACAGUUGUUAAAGAUUUAUCGCCUAAAGAGCAGCCUGCGGCAGAUUAGCUAGUUGGUAAGGUAACGGCUUACCAAGGCUACGAUCUGUAUCCGACCUGAGAGGGUGGUCGGACACACUGACACUGAAUAACGGGUCAGACUCCUACGGGAGGCAGCAGUCGGGAAUUUUGGGCAAUGGGCGAAAGCCUGACCCAGCAACGCCGCGUGAAGGAUGAAGUCUUUCGGGAUGUAAACUUCGUAAGAAUAGGAAGAAUAAAUGACGGUACUAUUUGUAAGGUCCGGCUAACUACGUGCCAGCAGCCGCGGUAAUACGUAGGGACCAAGCGUUGUUCGGAUUUACUGGGCGUAAAGGGCGCGUAGGCGGCGUGUCAAGUCAAUUGUGAAAUCUCCGAGCUUAACUCGGAACGGUCAAUUGAUACUGAUGUGCUAGAGUGCAGAAGGGGCAAUCGGAAUUCUUGGUGUAGCGGUGAAAUGCGUAGAUAUCAAGAGGAACACCUGAGGUGAAGACGGGUUGCUGGGCUGACACUGACGCUGAGGCGCGAAAGCUAGGGUAGCAAACGGGAUUAGAUACCCCGGUAGUCCUAGCCCUAAACGAUGAAUACUUGGUGUCUGGAGUUUUAAUUCUCCGGGUGCCGUCGCUAACGU
rnacentral:rRNA from 1 species